UACGGGGGGGGCAAGCGUUGUUCGGAAUCACUGGGCGUAAAGGGCGCGUAGGCGGGGAGGUAAGUCGGGGGUGAAAUCCCUCGGCCCAACCGAGGAACUGCGCCCGAGACUGCUUCUCUUGAGUCCCGGAGAGGAAGAUGGAAUUCCCGGUGUAGCGGUGAAAUGUGUAGAGAUCGGGAGGAACACCGGUGGCGAAGGCGGUCUUCUGGACGGUGACUGACGCUGAGGCACGAAGGCCAGGGGAGCAAACGGG
rnacentral:rRNA from 1 species